rnacentral:tRNA from 1 species
GCUGGUGUAGCUCAGUUGGUAGAGCAGCGCUCUUGUAAAGCGCAGGCCGUGAGUUCGAGGCUCUCCACCAGCUCCA